rnacentral:tRNA from 1 species
GGCUUCGUGGCUGAAUGGUAAGGACACUUGCCUCUCACCCAGGAGUCCCGGGUUAGAUCCCUGGUCGAGGAGCUA